GGUAUGGGAUGAGCUUGCGUCCGAUUAGCUAGUUGGCGGGGCAACGGCCCACCAAGGUGACGAUCGGUAGCCGGCCUGAGAGAGUGAUCGGUCACAUUGGGACUGAGAUACGGCCCAGACUCCUACGGGAGGCAGCAGUAGGGAAUAUUGCACAAUGGGGGAAACCCUGAUGCAGCUACGCCACGUGUGGGAAGAAGCAUUUCGGUGUGUAAACCACUGUCGUGAGGGAAUAAGGCAUUUUUUCGGAGAUGUUGAAUGUACCUCGAGAGGAAGCACCGGCAAACUUCGUGCCAGCAGCCGCGGUAAUACGAGGGGUGCAAGCGUUGUUCGGAAUCACUGGGCGUAAAGGGAGCGCAGGCGGAAGCUCAAGCGGAUUGUACAAUACCGGGGCCCAACCCCGGACCUGCAGUCCGAACUGGGUUUCUUGGAUAGUUCAGGGGCAGGC
rnacentral:rRNA from 1 species